rnacentral:rRNA from 1 species
CCUGGCUCAGAUUGAACGCUGCGGCAGGCCUAACACAUGCAAGUCGAACGGUAACAGGAAACAGCUUGCUGUUCGCUGACGAGUGGCGGACGGGUGAGUAAUGUCUGGGAAACUGCCUGAUGGAGGGGGAUAACUACUGGAAACGGUAGCUAAUACCGCAUAACGUCGCAAGACCAAAGAGGGGGACCCUCGGGCCUCUUGCCAUCGGAUGUGCCCAGAUGGGAUUAGCUUGUUGGUGGGGUAACGGCUCACCAAGGCGACGAUCCCUAGCUGGUCUGAGAGGAUGACCAGCCACACUGGAACUGAGACACGGUCCAGACUCCUACGGGAGGCAGCAGUGGGGAAUAUUGCACAAUGGGCGCAAGCCUGAUGCAGCCAUGCCGCGUGUAUGAAGAAGGCCUUCGGGUUGUAAAGUACUUUCAGCGGGGAGGAAGGGAGUAAAGUUGAUACCUUUGCUCAUUGACGUUACCCGCAGAAGAAGCACCGGCUAACUCCGUG